rnacentral:rRNA from 1 species
UACGGGGGGAGCAAGCGUUGUUCGGAUUUACUGGGCGUAAAGGGCGCGUAGGCGGCGCAACAAGUCACUUGUGAAAUCUCCGGGCUUAACCCGGAGCGGUCAAGUGAUACUGUCGUGCUAGAGUGCGGAAGGGGCUACUGGAAUUCCCGGUGUAGCGGUGAAAUGCGCAGAUAUCGGGAGGAACACCGGUGGCGAAGGCGGUUCUCUGGGCCUGUGCUGACGCUGAGGAGCGAAAGCGUGGGGAGCGAACAGG